CGGAUUAGCCGUGAGAUUAAAUGUUAAGGAUUUUAUAGGUUGGCGGAUUUCGUAGAGUUGAAUGGAGUCUUGAAGAGUUGAUCACGGAAGUUUGAAGAAAAGAUUCAAAUUGAAGAACAAUGACUCAUUCGGAAAGCUCGGCACUUCAAGUAUGAAGAAUAGAUGAUUUAUGGUGAAGAUGUUUAAUUGUAAUAAGUUCAGAAGGCUUAGAUUGCUUUAAAAUUCUUUUACUGAACUUUUUUGUGUUCU
rnacentral:lncRNA from 1 species